rnacentral:rRNA from 1 species
UACGUAGGGUGCAAGCGUUAAUCGGAAUUACUGGGCGUAAAGCGUGCGCAGGCGGUUUUGUAAGGCAGUGGUGAAAUCCCCGGGCUCAACCUGGGAACUGCCAUUGUGACUGCAAGGCUGGAGUGCGGCAGAGGGGGAUGGAAUUCCGCGUGUAGCAGUGAAAUGCGUAGAUAUGCGGAGGAACACCGAUGGCGAAGGCAAUCCCCUGGGCCUGUACUGACGCUCAUGCACGAAAGCGUGGGGAGCAAACAGG